AAUGGACAAUGAUUAUUGCACAAAUAGUAUUUAGUACCAAAAAAUAUUGAACUAAAAUAUAGAACAUUGCCUCUCCCAUAACUCUCCAGAAUAAAAUGACACUAGAUGUCAUCAGUUGCUGCAAAUACAUGUACAGUGAAGCCGUCGUUUAUCCCAUUCAAACCCAUUCAAACAACGAAAACAGUAUUUAUUGUUUGAAUUUUAUAUUAAAACUUACACAAAUUUAAAGUUGACUUUGUUUCAUAUCACAAGCAAGGUGCAUCAGAUUUACAUGGGCAACGUGAGAGCGUGAGACAGAGCCUGAAAGCGUGUCUCUGACAACCCUGCAUGACCAAAUACAGCGCACACCUUAUUAAUAAAACACACGUACAAGCAAGAGCCCAAAACAUAUUACCGUGUACGGUCAACAACUUCAUCUUCUGGUUUUAUGGCGUGUUGCGAAAGGUACGACCAACUUAGAUCACAUCUGCAUUAAUAACCGAUCAUAGCCUUGACGUCAGUGAACUGCCGUAAACUGAGUUCCACCUGUCGCAAAAAGUCAGUGACUUUUUUUUUUUUUAAACGCAUUCUUCUAAAUUCCCAAAAUUAUUAAAUCCAAAAAUAUACCGUUAGUGUAAAACAUGUUGAAAAUUAGCAGAUAGGUUGUGGAUUCAUUAAAGCUAUUUCCUCUAAAAAACGUCUUUAUUCAGCGUAACGGGGUCUAGCAUAGCCGUUACGCUAAAGGUCACAGAGUGCAGUGCAGAUGGCGACAAGUGAAGCCAUGUCAGAAACUGCAGAUGAAAGCGUGCAAGGUAUGUAAGACCCAUCCAGUUACAUAUUUUAACCUCCGUUCUGUUGUCCUUAGUUCAUGAAACAAAUAAAAUAAGUAAAAUAGAUAUUUGUAUAAACACACAUAAACCCAAUAGGCAUUACACCCUCAUGCUACUACAUUUAGCCAUGUACCCACCUUGAUUCUAUCGGAAAAAAUAUUAAACUUUAUUAUGCCAAGUUUAUUUUCAAUUUAUAUUUUCAGUUAGGUCUACUUUAAUUGCUGUACCAUACUUUAUAUAGCAAAUAUACCACACUUAAUGUAAUCAUUGGCAUAAUAUUAAGUUACUGCAACCCUUUAACUAAUUUUGUAUUUAAAUUGUCUACGUGAAUAUUUUAUUUAUAAAAUUCAUAAACAUCUGUCAAAUUAAACUGAAAACCUAUAACUGUAGAGAACAAAAAAGAAACAACGUUAGAUGAAAUCUCAUUUAUUACACACUUCCGCAAGUUAACUGUUCACACACACAGCUUUUUGAACAAUCGAACGAGCAGUGAAAACCGUUAAUCACAUGGCUGCCGUUAAAGAAACGGAAUGCAGAAUAGCUAAAGAACACACUUAGCUAAAUUACAAAAGAACAGACUACAGUAUAACAAUAUUACUAUGCAACUCGACAACUUAAGCUAAUUGGCAAAUUAGCAAUUCAGCGUUUCAACAAAAACUCACGUACACAUUCAGAAUAAUACAAAACGAAGACAGAGUUAAGGUACGUUAACAGUAUAACACUAUGCGAUAACAAUUUGAGUGAGAAACAGACUUUUUUUUUUUUUUUACAUAUUACCUAUUCAACAGUUGCCGGUUCAUCAACCAAACUGCCUCGCUGAAUGUCCUGACUAAGGGCAGCAGCUUCGAUAACUUCCCAAUCUUGCAGAACUUGCCCAGCUUCACCAUCCGUCGCUGGGCUGCCGUCGUUAGCAGCAACCAAGGGGUCCCCACGACUUUGUGAAGGAGGUUGAAUUAUCGCGGUGAUCAAGGAAUCAUUAUUAAUGCACAUUUCCAGCUCUGGCCUAUUAAGGAAAUGUUCCUCAAUGCUUUCCACGUCGUUUGGGGAGUAGAUGACGCGAUAUCUGGCCAAGUAAGCGGUUAGGCAGGAAUCGGUCACAAUCAGCGAGUGAUCUUGCUGGUCAGCUGUGAGAACGAUCGUUCCUCCGUAGGUUGAGCUGUAGACCGAUGACCGCUGCAGCAGAUUGCAGACAUCGCAUCUGUGGGUGAUGGAGUUGGCAGAAAUGUCGUUUUGAACACUGUGGCACCUCGGACAGCGAUGCCUGGCUCGGAUUUGAACCCCGGAGACCAAACCGCGCAGAGUCGUGGAAGAAGCGCCGUUGUCGGGAUCAUCGCUACCCCAGUCAGGUUGGAGAAGGAGUAAGAUUUGGAGACGUGGACCUGGGAUAUUAGGCUGUCCCACAAGGUAAGCUUCAUUUCCCCUGUGGUGUCACCGACCCAUAUCUCCUUCAGCUCACAUUCCUCCUGGUUAACCAAGACGAUUUUACUGACGGCAGCACGGGGAAGGACCUUAGCUUGCAGCUCGCCUACCUGUAAGCAUAAAAAAAAAAAAAAAUCUAAUUUAGCUGCUGAGUAGAUCUAAUAACGUAGGCCUCUUUGCCAAUAUUUUUUUUCGAAUAGAAGAUAGCAUACUCACAUUUUGUCUUGGUCCCAGCACUUUCACGGCAGCUACAUCCAUCCUUGUGCUGCCUGAAGGUGCGAUGCGGCAGAAGGGCACGGUCACAACAUCAAGGGUUGUUGUUUUAGAGCAGAUUACAUCGAACCCAUCUGGAUCGGAGAAGCCUGCAGGACGAAAAUAUCUAGGCUGUGACACUUACUGAGGCUGCGGCGUACGUUCUUCAGCUUCACUGCUGUCCCGUUCUUAGAAGCUUGCGAAAACGCGAAUUUUUUGCUGGAGACACGCUAUGUAGAUAUCCUUCUACGGCGCAAUCCUCCACUU